rnacentral:rRNA from 1 species
AUGCAGUGGGUGCAGAUACAGCAGCAGCAGGUCGCCGGCCACAGCAGAAGCAGCAGCAGCAGCAGUAGCUUGUCGCGGCUGUGGGUAAGGAGAAUAGAGGGAAGAAAAAAGGGAACCUGGCGACGGUGUGGCAACGCCGCCGGUCGCCAGCAGCAGCGGGCCUUGGUGUUACAGGUGACCCAGGCAGCGGCUGCGGGGACUGGGUCGCCGCUCGGGCUGAACGAACAGAGAGAGGGGAAUAUGUUAGGAUGUGUGCCUGCGUGGCUUGCUGAGUUGGCUGCCCUGUCAGCUUUGACUCGUUCUAAACCGGUUGAUCUGCCCAAAACCGAGUCAAGGGUUGUCUUUUGA